UGUCACGUUACUUGAUCCAACACACAGAAAGACUGAACUCUUUUUUUUUUUUUCAACACAUGCAUAUGGUGGUGUACAUGCAUAAAGAUAAAUUUGUGUUAAAAUUUUAAACGCAAUUUAAUUUUUUCCAGUAAACAAAUCAAGAUAAUUUAAUUAACUGAAUUUUCAUCAGCAUCAAGUGUAUCAUGUGAGAAACUAGAAUUUGUGAAAAUCAGCUUUCUGUUUCUCGUUGGAUGCAUUUAACACCAGACACUUGAAGCAGUCUCUUCCUUUUAUUUAUUUUUUUUUAAUAAAUUAUUUAAAUAAUUAUAAAUUAAUUUUUUUAUUUCUUGUCAUUAAUAUAAUUAUAUUGUUCAA